AACGAACGCUAGCGGCAUGCCUAAUACAUGCAAGUCGAACGAGAUCUUCGGAUCUAGUGGCGCACGGGUGCGUAACGCGUGGGAAUCUGCCCUUUGGUUCGGAAUAACUUCUGGAAACGGAAGCUAAUACCGGAUGAUGACGUAAGUCCAAAGAUUUAUCGCCCGAGGAUGAGCCCGCGUAGGAUUAGCUAGUUGGUGAGGUAAAGGCUCACCAAGGCUACGAUCCUUAGCUGGUCUGAGAGGAUGAUCAGCCACACUUGGACUGAGACACGGCCCAGACUCCUACGGGAGGCAGCAGUAGGGAAGAUUGGACAAUGGGCGCAAGCCUGAUCCAGCAAUGCCGCAUGAGCGAUGAAGGCCUUAGGGUUGUAAAGCUCUUUUACCCGGGAUGAUAAUGACAGUACCGGGAGAAUAAGCCCCGGCUAACUCCGUGCCAGCAGCCGCAGUAA
rnacentral:rRNA from 1 species